AGUGAACGCUGGCGGUAGGCCUAACACAUGCAAGUCGAACGGCAGCACAGUAAGAGCUUGCUCUUACGGGUGGCGAGUGGCGGACGGGUGAGGAAUACAUCGGAAUCUACUUUUUCGUGGGGGAUAACGUAGGGAAACUUACGCUAAUACCGCAUACGACCUACGGGUGAAAGCAGGGGAUCUUCGGACCUUGCGCGAUUGAAUGAGCCGAUGUCGGAUUAGCUAGUUGGCGGGGUAAAGGCCCACCAAGGCGACGAUCCGUAGCUGGUCUGAGAGGAUGAUCAGCCACACUGGAACUGAGACACGGUCCAGACUCCUACGGGAGGCAGCAGUGGGGAAUAUUGGACAAUGGGCGCAAGCCUGAUCCAGCCAUACCGCGUGGGUAAAGAAGGCCUUCGGGUUGUAAAGCCCUUUUGUUGGGAAAGAAAAGCAGCAGGUUAAUACCCCGCUGUCCUGACGGUACCCAAAGAAUAAGCACCGGCUAACUUCGUG
rnacentral:rRNA from 1 species